rnacentral:lncRNA from 1 species
UUCAGCGAAGGAAUACUGAAAUGCUGGAUUACAGUGUUUAUGCUUUGUGGCGUAGGGGAGGAAAUUCAAAUGAAUGCAACUGGAUACAUAGAUAACUUGUUAUAUGAACUGAUCGACUCACUACGUAUUUCAGUUAUCUGAGAAACAUUUCCAGUGUCGAGUAGGUACUUAUCACUAAAGGGUGAAGGAGAUCGCCAUUUUUGUUUAACAAACUGAUCGAAAAAGUUUAGCGCUAAGUCCAGUGGUCUACUCCUGAUGUUGUAAUACAUAAGUGACCUACAUACAUACAUAUCGUCGUUUAAAUGCGCAUCAAUUUCUGUCAAAUAUUAUCAGUAUUACGUACUACAUAAAAAUACACUGAGCAGUCUAUGCUACGACGGAAGCACGAGAAUUUUCCCAAAAUCAUUACUGGAAUUUGAAGUAAACAGACAACAGCAUGAGUUUACUCACUUCCAUCUAAACAGUAUGAACUCAUUGCUGUGAACUAUAUAAGCAGUUAUGUUUGGAAAUAAAUGAGUGCGAGUGUGUGCAGAUGUGAAAAGAAAGCGAGUGACUUAAAAUGUAAUUUGAGUGUAUCCAUGCAGCCUCUGGAAGUAAAUUAUGAACGAGUUUUGGUUUUAACAUAAAAUUCAAUAAAUACUCUAGACAUUUAUACAUAAAUGUA